rnacentral:rRNA from 1 species
UACGUAGGGACCGAGCGUUGUCCGGAAUCAUUGGGCGUAAAGAGCGUGUAGGCGGCCAAUUAAGUCCUGCGUGAAAUCUCGGGGCUCAACCCCGAGCGGUCGUGGGAAACUGGUUGGCUAGAGUGCGGGAGAGGAGAGUGGAAUUCCUGGUGUAGCGGUGAAAUGCGCAGAUAUCAGGAGGAACACCGGUGGCGAAGGCGGAUCUCUGGGCCUGAUCUGACGCUGAGGCGCGAAAGCUAGGGGAGCGAACAGG